AUGCAAUGAAAUGAAGCGUGAAAUGAGCAAAAGAUAAAGACAAAGAAGAAAAAGAACCAGAACUUAGAUGUCAAGUGAUGAAGAGAGAAAAGACCAAAGGAAAAUGAACAAAGCGUGCGUCCUUUUUCCCUUACCUUUCUUCAUUUCUCCUUUGUCUUUUGCUCUUCAUCAUGUGUUCUUUGUUCCUCUUCUUGUUUGGUUUAAUUCAGUUACAAUGGAAUGAAAUGUAAGCGUGAACUGAAUUAAACGAAACAAAGAAGGGAACAACAACACACACCUCAGAAACGAGUGAUGAAUUGUGUGCUUUGGUUCUUUUUGUUUCUUUCGCUUCAUUCUCGCUUCCACUCAUUCUUCCUUCCAUUGAAAUGAAGCGAAAGAGAACAAAAGACC
rnacentral:ribozyme from 1 species